rnacentral:rRNA from 1 species
GACGAACGCUGGCGGCGUGCUUGACACAUGCAAGUCGAACGGAAAGGCCUGCUUUCCCUUGUGGAUUGUGGGUACUCGAGUGGCGAACGGGUGAGUAACACGUGAGUGAUCUGCCCCCAACUUGGGUAUAAGCCUGGGAAACUGGGUCUAAUUCCCGAUAGGACUGCAGGGUGGUGCCUGUGGUGGAAAACGAUUUUCUAGUGGUUGGGGAUGAGCUCGCGGCCUAUCAGCUUGUUGGUGGGGUAAUGGCCUACCAAGGCGGCGACGGGUAGCCGGCCUGAGAGGGUGGACGGCCACAUUGGGACUGAGAUACGGCCCAGACUCCUACGGGAGGCAGCAGUGGGGAAUAUUGCACAAUGGGCGGAAGCCUGAUGCAGCGACGCCGCGUGGGGGAUGACGGCCUUCGGGUUGUAAACUCCUUUCGACCGCGAGGAAGCCACCUGGUUGGAAGGGUGGUGACGGUAGUGGUAGAAGAAGCACCGGCUAACUUCGUG